ACCCUAUCCCCAUUGGCCACAAAUUUUCUUUUAUCAUUAAGAACAAAUCUGCACCAACUGGCUGCAUUAUAUACUGUGCUGGGGGCAAUGGCAGAGUCAAAGAAAUACAAUUUGGGGUGGGUGCCCUCAAGCCUAUUAGUAUAUUGGGGAAAGACCUUCAUACUUAACCUUAAAUGCUAGUAUCUUGAAACAGUUACAAAACCUUUCAAAGAAACCUAGGAAACCUCAAAAUAUCCAAUCAUGGAACAACCUUGUAACUUUGAUGGUAAUUCUCUUUAACAGUAUUCCCUCUUGGCUCUGUAUGAAAUGGAGGAGACAACUGGGGGGGGGGGGGGGUCAUCCAGACUAACCCCUACAUCUAACAGGAGAAGGUGCAGUGAUCCUGAAGAGAGCAAAGGACUUCAGCCAAAUCACUCCAGUCGGUGGCAGAACCUGGAUGAAUUCAGGCAGGCCUUGACUGGUUUGGGUUGUUACAGGACUGUAGGAAUCAAAGUAGGAAGAAAGCGGGACAGGCCAAAGGAAGAAGAGGUGGACAAACUGAGACUCAAGUUGUUCUGGGAUCAUACAGAGACUAGCAGAGUUGAGAUUUUAUGUCUCAUUUUAGAGGAAUCAAGAAAGAUCAGGUUCCCCCACCUCCUAUCCUGAUGACCUAUGGAGAAUAUGAGAGCUUCAAGCUCUACGGGAUGAGUGGCCCAGGCCAUGAGGAAGACAAGAUGUUCUCAUCACUGGAGUUUUCCUUUGAUUGCUAGUUUCCAUUACACAAAGUGACCACUCCUUCUAGAAGAUAUUUGGGUUGUUAGCUCAUUGAGGGCAAGGCCAGAAUGCACUGACAAUGGUUUGUUGAAUUUGUUGUUUGUUGGUGAGUUUAUAACUAAACGAACACAUAUUCGACCCCAGACCACCCCAGAGGGAAGCUGCAAUUGUGUCUGGCAAUGGGUGAAGUGAUUACUUUCUUGUGACUUUUCCCAAGUGAGGGCUCUUGCAUUCAUUCAGUGAACACAGCAAGCACCCAUCCUGCUGUGCACAGAACUAGAAAACAAGUUGGGGGCUUCCAAGGGCAAGAAUGUCUUGCUUCUCCUGAAAACUCCAUUCCGAGUCCUACACAU
rnacentral:lncRNA from 1 species